rnacentral:rRNA from 1 species
GAGGAAUUUUGCGCAAUGGCCGCAAGGCUGACGCAGCAACGCCGCGUGGGUGAAGAAGGCCUUCGGGUCGUAAAGCCCUGUCAGGUGGGAAGAAUGACCUGGGGUCGAAUAGAUCUCGGGAGUGACGGUACCACCAGAGGAAGCACCGGCUAACUCCGUGCCAGCAGCCGCGGUAAUACGGAGGGUGCAAGCGUUAUUCGGAAUUACUGGGCGUAAAGCGCGUGCAGGCGGGUAGGCAAGUCUGAUGUGAAAGCCCCGGGCUCAACCUGGGAAGUGCAUUGGAAACUGCUUAUCUUGAGUGCUGGAGAGGAAGGGGGAAUUCCCGGUGUAGAGGUGAAAUUCGUAGAGAUCGGGAGGAAUACCAGUGGCGAAGGCGCCCUUCUGGACGGCAACUGACGCUGAGACGCGAAAGCGUGGGGAGCAAAC